rnacentral:rRNA from 1 species
GACGAACGCUGGCGGCGUGCCUAAUACAUGCAAGUCGAACGCACUCUCGUUUAGAUUGAAGGAGCUUGCUCCUGAUUGAUAAACAUUUGAGUGAGUGGCGGACGGGUGAGUAACACGUGGGUAACCUGCCCUAAAGUGGGGGAUAACAUUUGGAAACAGAUGCUAAUACCGCAUAAAACCUAACACCGCUUGGUGUAGGGUUGAAAGAUGGUUUCGGCUAUCACUUUAGGAUGGACCCGCGGUGCAUUAGUUAGUUGGUGAGGUAAAGGCUCACCAAGACCGUGAUGCAUAGCCGACCUGAGAGGGUAAUCGGCCACACUGGGACUGAGACACGGCCCAGACUCCUACGGGAGGCAGCAGUAGGGAAUCUUCCGACAAUGGACGAAAGUCUGAUGGAGCAACGCCGCGUGAGUGAAGAAGGUUUUCGGA